UUAAGAGUCUCUAGCGAACUUUAUUAGUAUCCGGGUUCACGGAGCCACUCGUCGCCGACGCCGGUAGGGAUGGAGGGCGCGCCCGACUCCCGCCCGCCGCGCUGAGGAGCAUGCGCCACCUCGUCUGCGCAUGCUCAACACCGGCCCCGCCCUGCACUGGCAAGGAAGGCACGGGCUGGGUUUCGGAGCCUCAGGCCUUGGUACCCAAGGAGACCAAGGUGAGCAGGAUGUGCAAACCUACUGAAGGCGCACCUUGUUUCCCCUAUCCAGGGGCCUCAGAAGUCUGUCACCACCUGAGACGCACGUGGUAGCAUCGAAGUGAUAAGACUGUGCAAAAAAAGUGUUGAGUGAAGACACUUUGUAGGGUGUGACUGGACAAAAUAGAAGAGUGUGAUGGUUAAUAAUUCAAAGAACCAACCUACAAAUAUGAAAAGAUCCUGCAAAAAAAAAAAAAAAA
rnacentral:lncRNA from 1 species